UACACAUCAAAUAUGAUCAGCUGGUUUCAGGAAACCAACUAACUAAACUUCAUCUUCUGCCUGAAAUCAAGGAGCCAUGUUUCUAAACGGCCUUAGCGACAGUAACUAAGGGGCGGGGCGAGACGCCGUGACAUCGCGAGAACACUCCGCGGGAUCCCGCAGCGCUCCUGUAUCUCAGCCUGAAGAGCUCCGAGACCAGAAUCCAGACUCGGUCCAGGACAACACGGUCCACCAGUCACAGCGGAGACCUGCAGGACGAUGGAGAACCAGAACCCGGACCGCAGGAGCCAAACAGCAGCCUCGUGCUCUGAUAGCACCGAUGUUCAGAUGACGCUCCGUAACUUGACCGUCUGACUGUCUGUAUUAUAAGGAAUGGAAGAAGCAGGCGGGUCUCCGAGGAGGAGGUGAAAGGACAAAAAGCUUUAAUCCAAACCAAAUCAAAGGUCCAUGAAGUCUGUGGGAAGUUGAACUGUGUCUCUGCAGGACUUUAACUUGACGUCUCCUCUGGACAACAGCUGCCUCUCUGUUCGUUUCUUUCUCUAUUUACUGGCAACAUGAAGACGUCUUCGCUUUGUGAAACAUCUGAUGUUUUAUUCUUUAUUAAAGUCAAACAUGAAGCCGUU